rnacentral:rRNA from 1 species
UGGGCGUAAAGGGAGCGCAGGCGGACUCGUGUGUCGGACGUGAAAUACCGGGGCUUAACCCCGGUGCUGCGUUCGAAACUACGAGUCUAGAGACUUGGAGGGGUAAGCGGAAUUCUUGGUGGAGCAGUGAAAUGCGUAGAUAUCAAGAGGAACACCAACGGCGAAGGCAGCUUACUGGACAAGAUCUGACGCUCAGGCUCGAAAGCGUGGGGAGCAAAAGGGAUUAGAUACCCCUGUAGUCCACGCUGUAAACGGUGCGCAUUAGGUCUUGGAGCUUUCGAACGCUCCAGGGCUCAAGCUAACGCAUUAAAUGCGCCGCCUGAGGACUACGGCCGCAAGGCUAAAACUCAAAGGAAUUGACGGGGGCCCGCACAAGCGGUGGAGCAUGUGGCUUAAUUCGAGGCAACGCGAAGAACCUUACCUGGUCUUGACAUGCCUGUCAUAGUUUUCCGAAAGGAUUACGUCAGUUCGGCUGGACAGUGCACAGGUGCUGCAUGGCUGUCGUCAGCUCGUGUCGUGAGAUGUUCGGUUAAGUCCGGCAACGAGCGCAACCCUCGUUCCUAGUUGCCAGCGGGUAAUGCCGGGGACUCUAGGAAGACAAACCUCGUGUAGAGGUGGGAAGGUGGGGACGACGUCAAGUCAGUAUGGCCCUUACGACCAGGGCUGCACACGUGCUACAAUGCCUGGUACAAUGGGAUGCAAUACCGCGAGGUUGAGCCAAUCCAUAAAGCCAGGCCCAGUUCGGAUUGGAGUCUGCAACUCGACUCCAUGAAGUUGGAAUCGCUAGUAAUGGCGUAUCAGCAACGACGCCGUGAAUACGUUCCCGGGCCUUGUACACACCGCCCGUCACAUCAUGAAAGCCGGUUCUGCCCGAAGUAUGUGAGCUAACCGCAAGGAAGCAGCGUCCUAAGGUGGGGCUGGUGAUUGGGAUGAAGUCGUAACAAGGUAGCCGUAGGGGAACCUGCGGCUG